rnacentral:lncRNA from 1 species
UCUCUUAUCAGUUCCUUCGUCGAUCGUUCUUCAUCUUAGAAAAUUUCUCCGCCACCACUACCAUCAGCGCGCGAAUCUCUUAUGGAAUUGGAGAAAUUAGGAUUGGAGAGAACGUAAUUUGGAAGCUUUGAUAGCAGAAGCUUGUUGCUCUUCUGUUGGUGGAGCUCUGCGUGGUAGUUAUCAGGGGAAAUUUUUGCUUUGGGUUUUAGGAAUUCUCUAUAAAGCUAUAAUUUGAUUGUUGUGUGCUAGCUUUGAAUAAAUGUUAGAUGUGAUCUACAAUUUGCAAUUUUGUCGAUUGGUUUGUUCUCGCAUAACUUUGCUUUCUAUUGCCGGAAUAGUAUCAGAGUAACGAGAACAAUGACAUUUCGAGUUAGAAUCGCGCUUCUCUCGACAAGACAACAUUAGGGUUGUUCUUGAAUAAAGACGAUGAAGUUUGGGGCUGAGCAACUUGAAGAUUUUGUUACCUUUCUUUAAGUGUAUUUCAAUGUAUCUCGCUGUAUUUCCAUAUAUUUUAUUGCAUUUAUUGUCUUUUUAUUCAUUGUAUUUCAGUGUAUCUUGUUGUAUUCUAUGUAUUUCAUUU